rnacentral:rRNA from 1 species
AUGCGGCAGAGCAGGUGCGUAGGACGAUCGAGUCGCUCUCACUACAGCGGCCAACAGCACCUACACGACACACCAACACCAAAACCAAAAACCAAACAGGAAAAGGUGCUCUGCACCGCAUCGCAAUACCGAGCGCAUGGAUGCAUGAUUGCUGAUCCUGCCGUCACGCCACUCACCUCACCUCAUCUCACCUGCCAUCGCCCCCCUUAUCCCGAACCCCAAAUCCCUCUCUGUUCUCGGGUCUCUCUCGCCUCGCCGAACAACAUGGGCUCCGACUUCAAGGCCAUCCCUCUGAUCGAUAUCAGCCCGCUCGUCGAGAAGAUCGAUGACCCUGCCAUGGCCGGCGACGAGGGUCUGCUCGACGUCGUCCGGAUGCUGGACGACGCUUGCAGGGAGGCCGGGUUCUUCUAUGUGAAAGGCCAUGGGAUUUCAGAGUCGCUAAUGACGGAAGUCAGGGAUAUCACACGCAAAUUCUUUCACCUCCCUCGUGAGGAAAAACUGAAGAUCAAAAUGACACCUCAGAGUGGAUAUAGAGGGUAUCAGAGAGUGGGAGAAAAUGUUACCAAGGGUAAACCUGAUAUGCAUGAAGCAAUUGAUUGCUACACGCCUAUCGAACCGGGCAGAUAUGGAGAUCUUGCUAAACCAAUGGAAGGAUCUAAUUUGUGGCCAGAUUACCCAUCAAAUUUUGACGCGCUGCUGGAAAACUAUAUAAGCCUUCUACGAGAUCUUUCAAGGAAGAUCAUGAGAGGCAUAGCCUUGGCACUGGGUGCGCCGUUGGAUGCCUUCGAAGGCGGAGUGGCGGGCGAUGCUUUCUGGGUUCUCAGGUUAAUUGGCUAUCCAAUCUCAGAUGACAUCCCACAAGAGGAGCGCACUGAUAUUGGAUGUGGAGCUCAUACAGAUUAUGGUCUUCUGACAUUAGUGAAUCAGGAUGAUGAUAUCUGUGCUCUUGAGGUCAGAAACCAGUCCGGUGAGUGGAUAUACGCCAAGCCGGUCCCGGGAACCUUCGUUUGCAACAUCGGGGACAUGCUGAAGGUUUGGUCGAAUGGGAUAUACCAGCCCACGCUCCACAGAGUCGUCAACAACUCCCCUCGCUACCGUGUAUCUGUCGCCUUCUUCUAUGAGUCGAACUUCGACGCUGCGGUGGAACCUGUAGAGUUCUGCCGGGAGAAGACGGGCGGCGUUGCCAAGUAUGAGAAGGUGGUGUAUGGGGAGCACCUAGUGCAGAAAGUCCUCACCAACUUCGUCAUGUAA